rnacentral:lncRNA from 1 species
CUCACACUUGCCCAGUGUCACAAUCAAACCUGUGGACGUGGAGCUUACGGUAACUCCAGAGCCAGCCCUUCUGUCAAGAUGCUGGCAAUCAGUAUAUCAUGAAAAACAGACUGCCCUUUCUCGCAUUUAUUGAAGAGAGAUUCUCAUGAUCCUAUGGGAAAAUUAAAUGAAGCUAUUACUGAUGUGGAAGGAAUAGCUUCCUGUAACAGGAGACUGUGGCUUCCUAUAACAGGAGACUAUCACAGUUACCAGCAGAAUCCCUUACUGCUCAGGAGUCAUAAAGCUGGAAGUCACAAGAUAUGUAACUUCCCCAGUUGCUCCUAUAGAUGACAUCACUAUUGUCAAACCUAAGAUUGAUUGGUCUUUGAGAUAUUUCUUAGACUUUCGCAUUCUGAUAACCAACUGACUCCACCUGGACCCAUACGAAGGAACUGACUCAACUGGUGACUCCCACCCAGAAAUUGACUCAGCACACCAAAACCAUUUGGACACUCCUAUGGACUUCAUUCCCAUUCAAUCCAGAGCAUCCAUUCCUUACCCCCCUGCCCACCAAAUUAUACUUACAAACCCUAGCCUCCAGGCUCUCAGGGAGGCAGAUUUGAGAAUUAUCUCCUGUUGUUCUGCUUGGCUGGCCCUAUGAUCAUCAGACUGUUUCUCUGCUGCAAUACCACUGUCUCAGUGAAUUGGCUUUAUCUGUGCAGUGGGUCAGAUGAACCCAUCAGGUGAUUACAAUAUUUGUAAUUCCUAAUAAAAACUACAAGAAGGUUAGAAUUUUCUGGGGUGAGCCAAAUUAAGAAAAAAAAAAGAAAUUCCAAAUUAUAGGGAUUAUCAAGCAACAUUAGCAAAGAUUCUCAUCAUGUGACUAUUAUCCUAAGAACAUCACCUGGAUUGCAGCCUUGUGAAGCCAUGAGAAGAGAACCCAGUGAAACUGUGCCUGGACUUCUGGCCUAUAGCAACUGUGAGAUAAUAAAAUGGGUGUUUUUCUAGGUCAUUAAAUUUGUGGUAAUUUGUUGCAAAACAAUUCUAUGCAGCAAUAGAAAA